UACGUAGGGGGCAAGCGUUGUCCGGAUUCAUUGGGCGUAAAGAGCUCGUAGGCGGUUCGGCAAGUCGGGUGUGAAAACUCCAGGCUCAACCUGGAGACGCCACCCGAUACUGCUGUGACUAGAGUGCGGUAGGGGAGACUGGAAUUCCUGGUGUAGCGGUGAAAUGCGCAGAUAUCAGGAGGAACACCGGUGGCGAAGGCGGGUCUCUGGGCCGUAACUGACGCUGAGGAGCGAAAGCAUGGGGAGCGAACAGG
rnacentral:rRNA from 1 species